UGCCUUCCUUACAUACUGCGCCAGGGACUCCGCCAUCAAAGCUCAGACAGCCUUGCACGAACAGAAGACCCUGCCGGGGAUGGCGCGGCCGAUCCAGGUGAAGCCGGCGGACAGUGAGAGCCGUGGAGGUAGGGACCGGAAGCUGUUCGUGGGCAUGCUCAACAAGCAGCAGUCGGAGGAAGACGUGCUCAGGCUCUUCCAGCCCUUUGGGGUCAUCGACGAAUGCACAGUGCUGCGAGGACCCGACGGGAGCAGCAAAGGUGAG